UACGUAGGGAGCAAGCGUUGUCCGGAAUCAUUGGGCGUAAAGCGCGCGUAGGCGGCCCUGUAAGUCCGCUGUGAAAGUCAAAGGCUCAACCUUUGAAAGCCGGUGGAUACUGCAGGGCUAGAGUCCGGAAGAGGCGAGUGGAAUCCCUGGUGUAGCGGUGGAAUGCGCAGAUAUCAGGAGGAACACCGGUGGCGAAGGCGGGUCUCUGGGCCGACAUUGACGCUGAGGAGCGAAAGCGUGGGGAGCAAACAGG
rnacentral:rRNA from 1 species